AUAUUUUCCCAUAAUACAAAACCUAUGUAGUGCGAGAAGUUUCUCUGCGAACCACCGAUCAACCUCAUACUAAACACGACGUAUUUCCUUCAAGAUUCCGAGUUGAAAAUCUCAUUUUCUUCAUACGGUGUAGCUACAUUACCUCGGAAAAUCUGAUGAUAUUUUGCGGACUUCUCGUCAUUUGCAUAAUCCGAAGAUGACUGACACUGAUUGAAAGACUGUAUUUCACAAGACCCAAAGGACAAAGGUCGAGAGCUACAAGUUCAUAUCGCAUUUUACAACUGCUCAAGAAGGUGAAGGAUUUGGGGAUCACUAAAUCAAGACGACGAUAUUCGGAUAUAAAAACAAUUUUAUUUUUAUAUGAGAUAAUCUUUCAACUUUAUUUUUACUUAAAAUUGAAGAAGUGAAUAAUCUAUAAAAAUUAUGAAUAUGAUGCUGAGAAGGAUCGAAAACCAUUAUCUGUCAACAAUGAUGCACUGUAAAAAUGCUAUUAUGUAUAUAUGGUCAUAAUGUUCUUGUGAUUUAUUUGUAAUUAAUUUAUGUAUUAUGUUGUUUCACUGUUGAAAAUAAUUCAAACAAUGUUUAAUAUGUGAAUUGCAUAGUAGUUUAAACAUUUUAAACAAGUGUUUAAGAACUUUAUAAACAACAAAGUUUAAACUCUAAUAUUUAAUCAUCAAUAAAUAAAGCAUGGUUGUUUAAGAUUUUGAACACUUAUUUAAACUGUUUAAACUACUAUGGGAUUCACACAGUAAACAGCAUUGUUUGAAUUAUUCUUAACAUAUAUAUAUAUAUAUGCUCAAUAAAUUCUUAUGCAUUAAAUUUGCCUUCAAUAAGAAUUUCCAGUUCAGUAUGAAUUAUACAAAAAACAUGGAAUUCUGGAAUGACAUUCACUUUCACGGAAUACAUGUAAAAACACUGUUCAUGAAAAGUAUAAUGAAAAUCAUCAAAAAUAAAUUAAAGCCAAACUGUAAAGAGUAAGCCAACCCCUAUAUCAUGAUUUCUUUUAAUAAAGAUUUAACAAUUUGCAACUGCAUCAACUUUAUUAUUUUUAUAUGUCACUAUAAUACCCCAGUCACAUUUCCCCUACGGCGGCCGUACGGCAAGUCGAAAACAGCAGUUUAACAUUAUUUUGUACCAGUGUACAUAUACAUGGUUUGAAUAAAAAUGAAUAAAACGGCCGUUUUCGACUCGCCGUACGACCGCCGUAGAGCAAAUGUGACUACUAUACUAAGGACGUCAAAAUUUAAAGAACAUCUUUUAAUGGAAAACUGGAAAGGAUUGAUAUAAAGUCCAACGAAGUUACUUAAAGCCAGAUUUAUUCACAUAUUGAUCAAUUAAUUUACCCCAUAUUUUC